CGUAGGGGGCAAGCGUUGUCCGGAUUUAUUGGGCGUAAAGCGCUCGCAGGCGGCUCGAUGCGUCGUGCGUGAAACACCCCGGCUCAACUGGGGAGGGUCGUGCGAUACGGUCGGGCUUGAGGCCAGUAGGGGGAUGCGGAAUUCCGGGUGUAGUGGUGGAAUGCGUAGAGAUCCGGAGGAACACCAGCGGCGAAGGCGGCAUCCUGGACUGGUCCUGACGCUCAUGAGCGAAAGCGUGGGGAGUGAUCCGGAUUAGAUACCCGGGUAGUCCACGCUGUAAACGAUGCGGACUAGGUGUCGGGGGUAUCGACCCCCUCGGUGCCGCAGCUAACGCGCUAAGUCCGCCGCCUGGGGACUACGGCCGCAAGGCUA
rnacentral:rRNA from 1 species